AUGCAAGUUCUCAUGGACCCAGUGUUUUGGAAAGCAGCAGAAAAUCUCAUGGAUCCAGUGUUUAGGAAAGCAGCAGAUAAAGGAAAUAUAGUUAGCCUACAAGAGCUUGUCGCCGUCAAACCCAACACAAUUUACUCGACGACAAAGGCUGAGAAAAACACAGCACUUCACAUCGCAGCGUCAGAAGGCCACACUUUGUUUGUCCAUCAUUUCCUCCUCCUUGUAGGCACAAAUAUGGAGCUCAUGGUCAGUCAAAACAAUGAUGACGAUACGCCACUGCACCUGGCGGUGAGAGCGGGCCAUCUAGAAGUGGUCGAGCACCUGAUUCUAUAUUUGACGUGGGCAAGGGGAAUCGAUGCCAACUUAAAGGAGCCUACCACAAUGUUAAAUGGUAAAGGAAAUACACCGAUGCAUGAUGCACUGUCUCAUCGACAAUUGGACAUUGCACUAAAGCUUUUGGAGGUCAACCCAAGAUGUGCAAAUGCAUUGAACGAGGAAAUGCAGUCACCGCUUUACAUUGCUGCUAGGGAAGGCUAUCUCCAUGUUGUCAAGAAGAUUGCCGACCAGUUGUUGGCAGUCUCUAUCUCAACUAUUGGCACUCGUAUGACUGCUCUACACCAGGCUGUGUUGGCUGAUGACAUCGGGGCGCUGGAGAUCUUGUUGGACAGGUAUGAGGAGCUUGUGGAGUUGACAGAUUUAUUAGGGAACAAUGCUCUGCACUACGCUGCACAGCACAACAACGCACGCAUAGUAUCCAUUUUGCUCAACAAAUACUCCAAUCUAGCCUACAAGCAGAAUGACGAGAAGCAUACUCCUCUACACACAGCUGCUUACUAUGGCUCGGCAGAGGCUGCUAAAGAGCUAUUAAAGCAGUUUCCUGAUGCCAUUGAGAUGGUGGAUAAUACAAGGCAAAGUGCCCUCCAUAUAGCCGCCAGAAAUGACAAGGUGGACGUGCUUGAAUUGCUUCUCAAGUAUGUGCUGCCGGAGGAGAUUGUGAACCAACAGGAUAGGGACGGUAACACACCGCUGCAUCAUGCCGCCAAGCUCCUGAAUAGACAAUCAACAAUGUUACUACUCAAUGAUCGGAGAGUCAAACCGUGGCUGCUUAACCAAGAUGAAGAUACAGCGUUUGCCCUUUCUUGUAGAGCAGGAAUAUUUGAGAUGAACGUCGAUGAGAUGGACUUGUGGAAGGAACUGAAGAAGCAUGAGUCCAGAAGGCACAACCAGCAGGUAUUGACAGAGCAACAGUUUCGACCACUGUGGUACUGGGGAAGAAGGACAUACAUGGUUAGCAGUGUGGUCAUUAAUGUUUUCGUGGCUGCCAUGAUGAGCAUGGCCACCUUUGCAGUCACACUCGCCGUGCCUGGAGGGUACAGCCAACAGUCAGGCACCGCCAUUGUUGGACACCAUCUGGCCUUUAAGAUAUUCGCGGUCGGCAACACCAUCUCAAUGUGUGGCUCCACCUCCACUGUUCUUGUACUCUGCUACUUGUCGUGGAAGUAUCAUGGCCAGGUACUCACUAGAUUGAUUUGGGCCAAUAUGCUGAUUGUCCUCUCCGUUCUAACAGCGAUCGUCUCAAUGUUGACUGCCGUAUACCUCACCAUCGCGCCAGUGUCGCGGUUUCUUGCCUACGUGGUGAUUGCCAUUGGUGCCAGCGCUCCUUUCUUGGCGUGCCUGAUACUGCGGAAGAGCCUGACUAGAAAGUCCCUGUUUACACGGUGGAUCGGCAUGAAACUGGUACCUCAAGGGGAGACGGGUCACACGUGA
rnacentral:rRNA from 1 species